AGUGAACGCUGGCGGUAGGCCUAACACAUGCAAGUCGAACGGCAGCACAGUAAGAGCUCGCUCUUACGGGUGGCGAGUGGCGGACGGGUGAGGAAUACAUCGGAAUCUACUUUUUCGUGGGGGAUAACGUAGGGAAACUUACGCUAAUACCGCAUACGACCUACGGUUGAAAGCAGGGGAUCUUCGGACCUUGCGCGAUUGAAUGAGCCGAUGUCGGAUUAGCUAGUUGGCGGGGUAAAGGCCCACCAAGGCGACGAUCCGUAGCUGGUCUGAGAGGAUGAUCGGCCACACUGGAACUGAGAAACGGUCCAGACUCCUACGGGAGGCAGCAGUGGGGAAUAUUGGACAAUGGGCGCAAGCCUGAUCCAGCAAUACCGCGUGGGUGAAGAAGGCCUUCGGGUUGUAAAGCCCUUUUGUUGGGAAAGAAAAGCAGCAGGUUAAUACCCCGCUGUUCUGACGGUACCCAAAGAAUAAGCACCGGCUAACUUCGUG
rnacentral:rRNA from 1 species